GACGAACGCUGGCGGCGUGCCUAAUACAUGCAAGUAGAACGCACAGUUUAUACCGUAGCUUGCUACACCAUAGACUGUGAGUUGCGAACGGGUGAGUAACGCGUAGGUAACCUGCCUGGUAGCGGGGGAUAACUAUUGGAAACGAUAGCUAAUACCGCAUCAUAUUGAUUAUUGCAUGAUAAUUAAUUGAAAGGUGCAAUUGCACCACUACCAGAUGGACCUGCGUUGUAUUAGCUAGUAGGUGAGGUAACGGCUCACCUAGGCGACGAUACAUAGCCGACCUGGGAGGGUGAUCGGCCACGCUGGGACUGGGACACGGCCCAGACUCCUACGGGAGGCAGCAGUAGGGAAUCUUCGGCAAUGGACGAAAGUCUGACCGAGCAACGCCGCGUGAGGGAAGAAGGUUUUCGGAUCGUAAAGAUCAGUUGUAAGAGAAGAAAGGGUGUGAGAGUGGAAAGUUCACACUGUGACGGUAUCUUAACAGAAAGGGACGGCUAACUACGUG
rnacentral:rRNA from 1 species